rnacentral:rRNA from 1 species
GACGAACGCUGGCGGUGUGCCUAACACAUGCAAGUCAACUUGACUGAAGGAGCAAUCUGACAGUAGAGUGGCGCAAGGGUGCGUAACGCGUAAGUAACUUGCCCAAGGUAAGGAAUAACGUCGAGAAAUCGGCGCUAAUACCUCAUAAUGCAGCGGAUCCGCAUGGAUAUGUUGUUAAAGGUUUACCGCCUUGGGAUAGGCUUGCGUCUGAUUAGCUAGUUGGUGUGGUAACGGCACACCAAGGCUACGAUCAGUAACUGGUCUGAGAGGAUGAUCAGUCACACUGGAACUGGGACACGGUCCAGACUCCUACGGGAGGCAGCAGUGAGGAAUAUUGGGCAAUGCUCGAAAGAGUGACCCAGCAACGCCGCGUGGAGGAUGAAGGUAUUCUAUAUCGUAAACUCCUGUGAGAGCAGACGAAAGACAGAUUAUUAAUCUGGAUGACUGUAUGCUCAGAGGAAGCCCCGGCUAACUACGUG